rnacentral:rRNA from 1 species
CCCUUAGAUGUUCUGGGCCGCACGCGCGCUACACUGAUGCAUUCAACGAGCCUAUCCGUGACCGACAGGUCCGGGUAAUCUUUGAAUCUGCAUCGUGACGGGGAUAGAUUAUUGCAAUUAUUAAUCUUCAACGAGGAAUGCCUAGUAGGCGCAAGUCAUCAGCUUGCGUCGAUUACGUCCCUGCCCUUUGUACACACCGCCCGUCGCUCCUACCGAUUGGGUGUGCUGGUGAAAUGUUCGGAUCGGCCGUUUGUCGCGGUUUCCGCGUCAUGUGGCUGAGAAGUUCAUUAAACCCUCCCACCUAGAGGAAGGAGAAGUCGUAACA